UGGGGAAUCUUGCGCAAUGGGCGAAAGCCUGACGCAGCAACGCCGCGUGUGUGAUGAAGGUCUUCGGAUCGUAAAGCACUGUCGCGAGGGAAGAUACGCCUCUGUCUAACAAACGGGGGCUAAGACGGUACCUCGAGAGGAAGCACCGGCUAACUCUGUGCCAGCAGCCGCGGUAAUACAGAGGGUGCGAGCGUUGUUCGGAAUUAUUGGGCGUAAAGCGCUUGUAGGCGGCCUGGAAAGUCGCGUGUGAAAUCCCCUGGCUUAACCAGGGAAGUGCGCGCGAAACUUCUGGGCUUGAGUGCCGGAGAGGGUCGCGGAAUUCCCGGUGUAGAGGUGAAAUUCGUAGAUAUCGGGAGGAACACCAGUGGCGAAGGCGGCGACCUGGACGGACACUGACGCUGAGACGCGAAAGCGUGGGGAGCAAACAG
rnacentral:rRNA from 1 species